UACGUAGGGUCCGAGCGUUGUCCGGAUUUAUUGGGCGUAAAGAGCUCGUAGGCGGUUCCGUAAGUCAGAUGUGAAAACUCAGGGCUCAACCCGGAGACGCCAUCUGAUACUGCGGUGACUGGAGUCUGGUAGGGGAACACGGAAUUCCUGGUGUAGCGGUGAAAUGCGCAGAUAUCGGGAGGAACACCUGUGGCGAAGGCGGCCCCUGGUUGGAUACUGACGCUGAUACGCGAAAGCGUGGG
rnacentral:rRNA from 1 species